rnacentral:rRNA from 1 species
UACGGAGGGUGCAAGCAUUAAUCGGAUUUAUUGGGCGUAAAGGGCGUGUAGGUGGGGAGGUAAGUCAGGUGUAAAAGACCGAAGCUCAACUUCGGAAUUGCACUUGAAACUGCUUCUCUUGAGGGUGGGCGGGGGAAACGGAAUUCCACGUGUAGCGGUGAAAUGCGUAGAUAUGUGGAGGAACACCGGUGGCGAAGGCGGUUUUCUAGCUUACAACUGACACUGAGGCGCGAAAGCUAGGGGAGCGAACAGG